CCGCGCCUCAGGUAUAUGGAAAGGAAGCGAAGAGAGGCGGGAGACUCACGCUGCGGAAGAGACCACCAGAGGCAAGGCCGGGAGAGAGGAUGCAACCUGCCUUCCUCAAGGUGUAACAGAAAUGCUUGGCUUACAGGGAAACUGAGCCCAGCAGAUGUCAAAGGCAGUCUGCAGUCAUGGCCCUCGCUUCCUCCUCCUUGGUGUUGCUUCAGGCACUGUGGCAGGUGAAGAGACUUCAUGUGUUUGGGGAGGGUCAUUUUGAGUGGCAAAAGCCUCUGUCCCCAUGCUUUAUGCAGAUACUCCCCCCACAGGGAAGGGCUGCAUGGCUGGCUGGCUGCGGUAGCAACAACAGCCGCCCACAUCCCCCAUUAAAACCGCUCUCCCCCA